ensembl:snRNA LOC120096373 U7 small nuclear RNA
AAAUUGUAUAGCUCUUUUAGAAUUCUUUUCUAACAGGAUUUCUGACCUUGGUCAGAAAUCACAA